AGCCUUACAGCUAGCCCACCACUAAAAACAACAAACAUAUUAAUAAACCAGAAUGUAUCAUACAUAACUAAACUAAACCAUUCUCCCCCCUCAGUAACCAGGCGAUAGAAAAGGACCACCGAGCUAUACAAAAAGUACCGCAAGGGAAAGCUGAAAAAGAAAUGAAAUAACUCAAUUAAGCCCUAAAAAGCAGGCAUAACCCCCCGUACCUUUUGCAUCAUGAAUUAAUGAGAACACUCCUGGCAAAAUGAGUUUUAGUCAGGCCCCCCGAAACUAAGUGAGCUACUCCAAGAUAGCCUUAUGGGCACACCCGUCCCUGUAGCAAAAGGGUGGGAAAAGCUUUGAGUAGAGGUGAUAAACCUACCGAACUUAGUGAUAGCUGGUUGUCUAAAAAAUGAAUAGAAGUUCAGCCUCCCAAAUUCUUACAUCCCAUAAACAAUACUUUAAAAAUAAAAGAGUUAAAGAAUAAGAGAGAGUUAGUCAAAGGAGGAACAGCCCCUUUGAAACAGAUACAACUUAUAACAGAAGGACUAGGACCAUAAACCCAUAAGACAACAUACUUUCGUGGGCUUAAAAGCAGCCAUCAGAACAAACAGCGUUAAAGCUUAAAUAUAAAUGUCCCCCCAAUCCUGACCACUCAACCCUAACCCUCCUACCAUACUAGACUGUUCCCUGACUACUGGGAAGCAUUCCUAUUAAUAUGAGUAAUAAGUAAAGCAAGCCUUAUCUCCUCCGCAUACCUGUAAACCGAACCGAACUCUUCGCCGGAAAUUAACGGCCCCACCAAACGAGGGCCCUGUACAACAUCUUAAUUACAAGAAAACACCCCAAAACAUAACCGUUACCCCUACACUGGCAUGCCACUAAGGAAAGACUAAAAGGGGAAGAAGGAACUCGGCAAACAUAAGCCUCGCCUGUUUACCAAAAACAUCGCCUCUUGUACCCCUACAAAUAAAGAGGUCCUGCCUGCCCCGUGACCACGAGUUUAACGGCCGCGGUAUUUUGACCGUGCAAAGGUAGCGCAAUCACUUGUCUCCUAAAUGAAGACCUGUAUGAAUGGCAAGACGAGGGCAUAACUGUCUCCUCCCCCCAGUCAAUGAAAUUGAUCUCCCCGUGCAGAAGCGGGGAUAACCCCAUCAGACGAGAAGACCCUGUGGAGCUUUAGAUACUAGAAAGACCAUUUCGCACAUCCCCACAUAACGGGACAACCAAAUGUAAACCCUUUCCUCAUAUCUUUGGUUGGGGCGACCAUGGGGAAACAAACAACCCCCGUAUGGAUUGGGAGAAAAAUCUCUCCUACAACUUAGGGCCUCCACCCUAAGUCACAGAACAUCUGACCCACAUAGAUCCAGCACAUCAGCUGAUCAACGAAACCAGUUACCCCAGGGAUAACAGCGCAAUCCUAUCUUAGAGCCCCUAUCGAAGAUGGGGUUUACGACCUCGAUGUUGGAUCAGGACAUCCUAAUGGUGCAACCGCUAUUAAGGGUUCGUUUGUUCAACGAUUAAAGUCCUACGUGAUCUGAGUUCAGACCGGAGUAAUCCAGGUCAGUUUCUAUCUAUGAUAAUAAUAUUCUUUAGUACGAAAGGACCAAGGAUAAGAAGCCCAUGCUUACAGUACGCCCCCUCCUCACUAUUGUAUAUAAUCAAAUAGACCACAGGACAUAACAAAUAGACCGAAGAUCUAAGUC
rnacentral:rRNA from 1 species